CGCGCUGCCGCAGGCUUGCCGUGUUACCGCCGAGGAACUUAAUGACACUUCGUAUUUCAUGUGAAGUACGUGGCCCCUCGUCUUUCUUGUCACCCUCUGCGCUUGGUGUUUGGGGAGAAGCCAGGGGGGCACCGAUCCGGGAUUCAGAGGGACUGCAACGGGGGGACGGGAUCUAGCCCUGGUUUGGGGUUGGGAAAACCUGGUUGCUUGGGGGAUUAGGCAAAACGUCUGGUUAGAAUUGGUAUUUAAAUGGAGCAAAUCAUGUUAUGUGUGUAUAUGUGUAUAUAUUCACAUACACCAACGCAUAAUUAUAUCUUCAAGCCUUAUGACAAUUUCAGACCUAAAGGCACCCUUAGAAAGCGUGAAUGCCACACUUUCAGUUUUAAGGGGGAGAGAACUACUACCCAGAGAAGAAGUAUGUAUAUUCACGCUUAUAGUUAAGAAAAUCAAAUCUGAUGUUCUCAGUUCUGCCGAUUGCCUACCUAGCCAAGUCUUCAAUAAAAGGACUGAGGCAGGAACCAUGGCAUUGGAGUUUAUGCCAUGGGACCUUCCCUGACCCUGUUUCCCUUUCUUUGAACCUCAGUUUCUUCAUCUUCCAAGUGGAGAUUUCUGGGCUAGAUUAAGCCCACCUGAGGUUUGCAGGUACCUUUUGAAUACAGGUCUCCAGUCCAACACACACCGAAGAACUCAGUGCCUGAGAUAUGUUCAUCUUAUUCCACGUUCCGACGGUUUGGAAUUUGUAUAACAACUGCAUAUAUUCUUCUGUAUCGUCCACUAUUACCUGAUAAAAUGUGAAAAUAAAUAUGAGGCUCUAGUCCUUUGAGCGCAGUCUUUGGGCACGUGGGCUUCAGUAGUUGCAGUCCUCACCAUCAGUCAUUGAGGCACCUGGGCUUAGUUGCCCCAUGGCAUGUUGGGUCUUCCCAGACCAGGGAUCGAACCCAGGUUCGAUGGACUGGAC